UACGAAGGGGGCGAGCGUUGUUCGGAAUUACUGGGCGUAAAGGGUGUGUAGGCGGAUAUGUAAGAUAGGGGUGAAAUGCCAGGGCUCAACCUUGGAACUGCCUUUAUAACUAUGUAUCUAGAGUGAUGAAGAGGAUAGCGGAAUACCCAGUGUAGAGGUGAAAUUCGUAGAUAUUGGGUAGAACACCAGUGGCGAAGGCGGCUAUCUGGGCAUCAACUGACGCUGAGGCACGAAAGCAUGGGGAUCAAACAGG
rnacentral:rRNA from 1 species